rnacentral:rRNA from 1 species
UACAGAGGGGGCGAGCGUUGUUCGGAAUUACUGGGCGUAAAGGGCGCGUAGGCGGCCCGCUAAGUCGAACGUGAAAUCCCCAGGCUCAACCUGGGAACUGCGUCCGAUACUGGCAGGCUUGAAUCCGGGAGAGGGAUGUGGAAUUCCUGGUGUAGCGGUGAAAUGCGCAGAUAUCAGGAGGAACACCGGUGGCGAAGGCGGAUCUCUGGGCCGUAACUGACGCUGAGGAGCGAAAGCAUGGGGAGCGAACAGG